rnacentral:rRNA from 1 species
GAUGAACGCUAGCGGCAGGCUUAACACAUGCAAGUCGAGGGGUAACAGAGGUAGCUUGCUACUUGCUGACGACCGGCGCACGGGUGCGUAACGCGUAUACAAUCUACCUUUUACAGAGGGAUAGCCUUUAGAAAUGAAGAUUAAUACCUCAUAGUAUUAUAAGUAUGCAUAUACAUAUAAUUAAAGUUUCGGCGGUAAAAGAUGAGUAUGCGUCCUAUUAGCUAGAUGGUGUGGUAACGGCACACCAUGGCAACGAUAGGUAGGGGCCCUGAGAGGGGGAUCCCCCACACUGGUACUGAGACACGGACCAG